GACGGAGGAUGCAAGUGUUAUCCGGAAUCACUGGGCGUAAAGCGUCUGUAGGUGGUUUAAUAAGUCAACUGUUAAAUCUUGAGGCUCAACCUCAAAAUCGCAGUCGAAACUAUUAGGCUAGAGUAUAGUAGGGGUAAAGGGAAUUCCAGUGGAGCGGUGAAAUGCGUAGAGAUUGGAAAGAACACCGAUGGCGAAGGCACUUUACUGGGCUAUUACUAACACUCAGAGACGAAAGCUAGGGUAGCAAA
rnacentral:rRNA from 1 species